AACCUCCGCAAUGUGAGAAAUCGCGACGGGGGGAUCCCAAGUGCCAUUCUUAACGGGAUGGCUUUUCAUUAGUGUAAAGAGCUUUUGGAAUAAGGGCUGGGCAAGACCGGUGCCAGCCGCCGCGGUAACACCGGCAGCUCUAGUGGUAGCAGUUUUUAUUGGGCCUAAAGCGUCCGUAGCCGGUUUAAUAAGUCUCUGGUGAAAUCCUGUAGCUUAACUGUGGGAAUUGCUGGAGAUACUAUUAGACUUGAGACCGGGAGAGGUUAGAGGUACUCCCAGGGUAGAGGUGAAAUUCUGUAAUCCUGGGAGGACCGCCUGUUGCGAAGGCGUCUAACUGGAACGGUUCUGACGGUGAGGGACGAAAGUUAGGGGCGCGAACCGGGAUUAGAUACCCGGGUAGUCCUAACUGUAAACGAUGCGGACUUGGUGUUGGGGUGGUUUUGAGCUGCUCCAGUGCCGAAGGGAAGCUGUUAAGUCCGCCGCGUGGGAAGUACGGUCGCAAGACUGAAACUUAAAGGAAGU
rnacentral:rRNA from 1 species